rnacentral:rRNA from 1 species
GACGAACGCUGGCGGCGUGCCUAAAACAUGCAAGUCGAACGAGGUAGCAAUACCUAGUGGCGAACGGCGGAGUAAUACAUGAACAACGUGCCCUGAAGUCCGGGACAAACGCAGAAAUGUCAUAAAUACCGGAUGUGGCCCCUUAUUGGCAUCAGUGAGGGAUUAAAUGGUUUUUCGCUUCAGGAGCGGUUCAUGGCCUAUCAGGUAGUUGGUGGGGUAAUGGCCUACCAAGCCGACGACAGGUAGCGGGUCUGAGAGGAUGAUCCGCUCGAGUGGGACUGAGACACGGCCCACACACCUACGGGUGGCAGCAGUUGGGAAUCUUGCACAAUGGGGGAAACCCUGAUGCAGCGACGCCGCGUGGAGGAUGACGGAUCUAGGUCUGUAAACUCCUUUUUCAUGGAAAGACUUAGGACGGUACCAUGAGAAUAAGGACCGGCUAACUACGUGCCAGCAGCCGCGGUAAGUCUCGCGUGA